AUCUGCGAGCCUUUCUUUCUUUCCUUCCCUACCCCUGCUCCCUUCUUCCUCAGCGCUAGCCUCCCUCGUGUUUCCUUUCCCUUUCCCCAUUUUUUUUUUCUAAAAAAAGGGAAACACGGAAGAGAAGCGAAUCUUUUCCACCUCCACUGGGCAAAAAAAAUUAAAAAAAUAAAUAAAAUUCCCCAUUCCCCCGAACAGAUUGAUUCGCUUCGAUUCGAGGGAGGAGGGGAGCACAGCGAUUUCUUCUCUCUCUUUCGCCGUCGCAUUCGCCUCGCGCCGCGCCGCGCACAAUCCCAUCCGCUGCUGCCCAAGGCUUGUUUCGCGGAUUCGGAUUGGUGCUGACUCGCUCCCGAUUGGCACCGGGAGGUAUGAAUUCUCGCUAGGAUUUCGGUGGGCGGAUUGCUGACGAGGAGAGGGUUGGGGGGAGUGGAGUUGGAUGUGAUCGGG
rnacentral:lncRNA from 1 species